ACGAUACAGAUGUGAAGAAACUAUUAGAGAUAAUGUAAAUA
rnacentral:guide_RNA from 1 species